rnacentral:rRNA from 1 species
UACGUAGGUGGCAAGCGUUGUCCGGAUUUACUGGGCGUAAAGAGCGCGCAGGCGGUCGUUCAAGUCGAGUGUGAAAGCCCCCGGCUCAACUGGGGAGGGUCACUCGAUACUGAUCGACUCGAAGGCAGAAGAGGGAAGCGGAAUUCCCGGUGUAGUGGUGAAAAUGCGUAGAUAUCGGGAGGAACACCAGUGGCGAAGGCGGCUUUCUGGUCUGCUCUUGACGCUGAGGCGCGAAAGCUAGGGUAGCAAACGGGG